rnacentral:rRNA from 1 species
GACGAACGCUGGCGGCGUGCUUAACACAUGCAAGUCGAACGGAAAGGCCCUGCUUUUGUGGGGUGCUCGAGUGGCGAACAGGUGAGUAACACGUGAAUAACCUGCCCUUGACUUUGGGAUAACUUCAGGAAACUGGGGCUAAUACCGGAUAGGAGCUCCUGCUGCAUGGUGGGGGUUGGAAAGUUUCGGCGGUUGGGGAUGGACUCGCGGCUUAUCAGCUUGUUGGUGGGGUAGUGGCUUACCAAGGCUUUGACGGGUAGCCGGCCUGAGAGGGUGACCGGCCACAUUGGGACUGAGAUACGGCCCAGACUCCUACGGGAGGCAGCAGUGGGGAAUAUUGCACAAUGGGCGGAAGCCUGAUGCAGCAACGCCGCGUGCGGGAUGACGGCCUUCGGGUUGUAAACCGCUUUCGCCUGUGACGAAGCGUGAGUGACGGUAAUGGGUAAAGAAGCACCGGCUAACUACGUG